rnacentral:lncRNA from 1 species
UGGAGAUCCUCUUGCACUUGGAGGUAAGUGGAGUGCUGUGCUGACACAGUUCGCACCUGCUUUAGAAGCCAGAGAGCCUCAGUGCAUUUUUUUAUAUCUUUAAUUAAUACAUAAAGAUUUAAUUUUACCUUAUGAUGUGCGGUGCACAUUUGAAUAUGUGUGCCACAGGUUCUCUUUCCACCUAUGUAUGGUACACUUGUGAGGGUACCAUUACACCAGAAAUUGUGCCUCUGAAGGGGAUGUAUAGAUUGGCCACCACUUGGACUCCAGGUAGGCACUGCACAAAGAAUCAGUUCUGAAGGAAAUGUCAAACUUGAGACAAUGGUGCUUGAACAAUUCCUGGGAGGAGCUAGAUAGAACCUUACAAGAGAUUAUUGAGUCUGUAAGGGUAGUGUCGUGAAAUCUGCCAGCAUUCUGCUUCCUCCUUCCAAUUAGAGGUUAGAAAAGAGAAACAGGUGGCCUCCGACCCUGUUUUCUGGUUUCCUCUAACAUUCUGGUCAAGGCAGUGGAGAUGACAGAAGAUCUACCACCAGCUCCAAGUCCCACAUGGAGGAGGAACCUGGAGUGAGCCUUAAUCCAGGGGACUUGGGAGUGCCUCCCAUCUCAUUGUACGGUGUGGUAAUGCUCCAAUGGGACAGGCCCCAGACAUGCUCCCUCUUUGGCUUCUAUUAGACUAAAGCUUUUAAGCAGUAUGAGUAAAGCCAAAAGUGCUCUCUCUGUCCCUGGAUGAGCAGAUUUUGAAAGAUAAGGGGGAGCAGGCAGCUAAGGACAGAAUAAAGAGUAUUUGCCAAAUUGGGACUGGCAUCUUCUAAAAACCAGUUUUACUUUGGAGCCCUAUGAAAAUAUAUUUACAGAGGAAAUAUAGAAAUUUAUAGAAUACGGUUUAGCUGGGGCGUAUAGCUCACUGGUAGAACUCUUGUCUAGCAUUUGAGAGGCCCUAGGUUUGAUCCCCAGCACUACUAUUGGGAUGUUAAAAUUAGCAAAACUUUAAAAUUAAAACAUUUUCAAAAUUGUCAUCAUUCCCCCCACCCCAUGUUCUUCUGUUUAAAAAAAUAGUAAAAUCAGUGUCACCUGGUCAGGUAAAACAUUGAAGUGGAUGAGCCAAAUGUAUAAAUAUAUAAGUUAAAAUUUAUAUAUUCUAUUGUUUGUGGUUAUGUAGGUAUACUCAAAUUAAAAUGGUCUCAUUCAACUGCCAUGUUUAUAAAUUAUGAAGUGUUUCAAAAAUCUCUAACUUUUGAUCCAAACCUGAUGGUAUACAUCUGUGCCCUUGGUCCUAGCUAUGCAGAAGGCUGAGGCAAGAGGAUUGCUUGAGCACAGGAGUUGUAGGCCAGCCUGGGCAAAAUGGCAAGAUAUUAAUAAACAUUGGAAAAAUCCUGCUUUAUCCUUUAUCCAUCCAAUCUACUUCUACUUUUAUUCAUCAGUGGUUCUUGAUGCAAAUACAACUAUGUAGUUUCUCUCUCUCUCUCUCUCUCUCUCUCUCUCUCUCUCUCUCUUUCUCUCUCUCUCGUGCUAGGAAUUGCUUCCGGGGUCUCUUGCAUGCUAGGCAAGUGCUCUGCAUCUGAGCUACAUCCCCAGCCCUGUUUAUCCCUCUUACUGUUAUAUUCUGGAGAGUUUCCCAAUUCAUAGAAGUCUUUCUUAUUCUUUUUAACAUCUAUAUGUAUUGCAUCAUGUAUAUCUGCAUGUAUUAUAUCUAUAUGUAUUACAUCAUGUAGAUGCACAAUGUUAGCUAGUCCCUCAUUAAGGGACUCUUGGGAUGUUUCUGGUUUUGCUGAUCCUAACAAUGCUGCAAUAAAUAUCCUUCAACACAUUUGAUUUCCAAGCUUGCAGGUGUUAUACCUGUAAGCAUCUAAGAUAGUGCUGUUUUAGCAGCAACAUGAGCAUUCUUCUUUAAACACAAAUUCACCUAUAGAGUAUGGUUGACAAUUGCUGGGAUACUUGCCAAUCUGAUAGGUGAAAAUGUUAUCUGACUGUGUUUUGUUUUGUUUUAAUAUUUUUACUUGUAGAUGGAAGCAAUACCUUUAUUUUAUUUAUUUGUUUUUAUGUGGUGCUGAAGAUUAAACACAGUGCCUCACACAUGUGAAGCAAGCACUCUUCCACAGAGCCACAACCCUGACUAUGGUUUUAAUAUGCAUUUUUUAAAAUUAUGAAUGAGCUGGCAUUAUAUGUUUAUGGGUCAUUUAUAAUUCUGUUUCUACAGACUGUCUUAGAUGACUUUUGCCUUUAUAUCUAUUGGGUUGUUCGCCUUUUUCUUUCUAGUUUCUAGAAGUUCUUUAUAUAUGAAGGAUAUCAACACUUUUUCUGUUAUGUGAGUUAUAAAUAUAUUUCCCCAGUAUUUUAUUUGUCCUGUGGUUUUAUUUAUACUGUUUGCCAUAUAUAAGAUUUGAUUUCACCCACAUGCUUUGACACACACCUGUAAUCCCAGCAACUGAAGAGGAUGAGGCAAGAGGAUUACUAGUUUGAGGCCAGUUUCAGCAAUUUAGCAAGGUCCUGAACAACUUAGCGAGACCUGCUCAAAAUAAAAUAAAAAUAAAAAGGAGUCUGGGAAUAUAGCUCAGUGGUUAAGUGCCCCUGGGUUAAAUCCCCAGUAACAAAAUAAAACAAAACAAAAACAAAAAGCAAAACAUAAAAAUCCCCCCCAAGAAUUUGAUUUUAAUGUAGUAAAAUUUGUCUAUUUUAUGGUUCAUAUUUUGAGUCAUAUUUAGAAAGUUCCCAUUCACUCUGAGACUUUUGUCCUUUUGGAUUCUGGCUAUUAGGCCUUGUCUUGAGGGAGACCAGAGUGGUUUGUAAGGUCCAACCUUCUGGGGCACAGAAAGCAGGACAGUUUUUACUGGCCUUUCCUGCAAAUAAGGACCAGUUAGUAAAUUUUAAUGAGAUAUGUAAUAUUAAUAUAUUUCCAUACAUCGUUUGAUAAAUCUUAUUUGGUCAGAGUUUUCAUAUAGUGAAAUUACGUUCCUCUUCUACAUCUUGAUCACGAUAAAAAAAAUCUGCUUAAAAGUCAGACUUUUUGCAAAGGAAUUUUGGUAAAAUCUAUGUGGGAAGUCACAAUACUAAUUUAUAUAGGUGAGGUGCCUUGUCUACUAAGGAUGCCUUACUCCACUUCCUUGUAUGCCAUAUCCAGCUGCUCUAUACAAGAGGAUGUGUGAAAUGUAAUGUUUCCACUGAAGCCUGAGGAAGAUAAGGGCUGUUAGAGCUAAUGAGUUUCCAAAGCUUUUUCCUGAUCUGUUUCUUAUUCUUUCCUCUAGCUCUCCAUCUCAAGAUCCCCAUCUCACACUUACAGAGAUUCCCAUCUCACACUUAUGGUAUUCUAUAUUCUAGAGGCUCACCCUGGCUUUUAGCAGGUAGAAACUGUUUUCACAGACUGAACUUCUUCCCCAGGCUCUAGACCUUCUGAAAAGACCCUUUUGUUUCUCCCUGAGAGGCUGUGUGGCACUUGGCUCCAGGAGCAAAGAUGCUCCAUCACAGAAAUUGAAAAGAAUAGAUGUACUGGUAAAACAACAGGGAAGACAAAGUAGAGAAAACAUAGCCCGUGGGACUAAAAAGCUCUGUGCACUGUGCUUGGAUAUCAUGGACACAUGAUGUGUGUGUAUCUGAAUAUGGAAGGUUUUGGUUGGGAGGAAAGUCAAAGUACAAACACCUCAAGCAAGGGUUGUUAAUACUCAUUGUGUGUCUGUUUUGGGUCAGAUAUUUUAUAAAUGCAAUCUUUAAUCUUUCUAACAUAUAUUUAUUGGAGGUUUUUGCUCCAGCUUACAAUUUGGGGGACAUUGUGGCUUAGAAGAGUCUCAGAGACAAACCUGAGAGCACGCAGUUAGCAAAAAGGAAGGCUGGGCUCUGAACCCAGGUCUGCUGGGCAGCAAAGGCCAAAUUUAUUUUACUAUUUCUUCUGUCUUUAAGGACAAAAACUGCCUGUGAAAGAAAUCUUCACUGCAGGCAGGCAAUGAUUGAAAACAAUUUUUUUUUUUCAAACUACAGAGUAAUCUGCUUGGUGUUCUGGGUUUUCUAUCAGAUGAAGAUUUGGUAAUAGAAAAAUUAUCCAAAAGUAGUGAUGGGUUCUGUUGUGCUCAGGUUUAAAUUACCUUGACUGGCAUUUAGGAAGAUUGCUCAAUAGAAAAGAGCCAUCUCUACUUGGAGGUGACUCCUUUACUUCUUCCCCUGACCUUAGAUGUGAAUCACAUCAUAAGUCAGUCCUCACAGAGGCUUUCUGUUAUUCCCAUGGAGUUAGACACAUUUUGAUGUUCCCUGAGAAUCACGUAAACUGUUGCAUUUGGUGCUGGGUCCCCAGUAAGUGUAUCUCAGGAUUCCUUAAGAUUUUUGGAAAGAAAAGUCUUUCUUCCACUAAGAAUGGCAAAAACAAAACCACUUGCUUGAAACUCAACAUCUACAGCACACCUAGGUUAGAGUCCCUUUCUUAUUUUAAAAAAUAGUGAAAACGUCAAUUUUCCUCCAAACUGUCCGUAGUCAAGAAAAGGGCAGUCAACAGUUGAUUGUUGGGUUUGUCUUUUGUGGUUUUAAGUACAAAUUACCCAAAGGCCUAAAACCAUCACCUAGCUUUCUUUUUCUUUUCCAGAAAUAAAGGAAAGAUACAGAAGUCCAAUUCAGAAAGUGCUAAAAUCAAACAUCCAAUGCACUUUGUUCCCUGUAAGUAAACCCCUUAUCAGUCUCUUGCAGGGAUUCUAAGAUGUUAUCUCAAUAGAUCAGAUUAUGGGGCUGACCACUCUCAAUGCUGAGUAGGAAUCAAACGGACAUUCUCUUCUGUCAGCAACCCCGGCUUUACCAAUCCAGAUAAAUCAAUUAAUGGGAUGCAGAGCUGCUGUCUUGCCUUUCUCUCUACCAUGCUUACCUCCUGGAGUUCCCUGGACUCCUCAGUCCCUCUUUAAUACCAUCUGAGAGUCCUUAUUUACAAGAGGGUUUGUGCAGGUGCAAGCAUUCAGGCCAGGGGCACAGGAGCAAUUGUUCCCCCUCCCCUCCCAUGCUCCAGGCUCCCCUCUUUGUGAGACACUUUUCUUCUCUCUGCUUUUCAGACCAAAGACCCCUCAGCAGCUAAUCUAAUCGGAUUAUGUUAAUUUGUACUUCAUGAACCUAAACAGCAUAACUAGAUCUGCAGAGAGCUAAGGCCAGGAAGAGAGGGACAAUGACUUUGUCAGUAAACCUACCCCCCAAAAGUGCAAGAAGAAUGCAGGUCCUGUGUUCAGCCACACAAAGCUGCUCCUCUGGGAAACCUACAGAGCUCUUGACAGUGUAGAGUGGCCGGCACCGGCUGCCCUCAGGAAGGAACAGGGUACAGCAAGGACCACAAUGACAGGGCUGUUUUCCCCUGUUAUAAAGUAAGGCUGCUUUUUUCUUUCCUUUCCCAAUUUCCUUAUAUUUGCCCUCUUGGCUAAUCAACAUAUAAAUUUGGAAGCUAUAGCCAGUGUUACAAUUCAACAAAUAUUAAUUGGCAGAUACUAUCUAUUAAGGAUAAUGCUUACCAAGCCCUGGGAUGCAUGAAGUUGUCGAGAUUUUUGCUUUUGCCCUUCAGACUUGAUACUUUGGUAGAGAAAGAUUUUGUAGGGACAGAAGUUAGAAAAAACCUCAAUGAGGUGGUUACGAUUCCUCAGCUUUCUUUACCUCAUGUUGGCUGACUCUGCUAGUCAUCCUCCAUGAUUUGCCACAUGUUUUUUUUUUAAUAUUUAUAUUUUAGCUAUAGGUGAACACAAUAUCUUUAUUUUACAUUUACGUGUGCUGAGGAUUGAACCCGGUGCCUCACGCAUACUAGGCCAGUGCUCCACCUCUUGUUAUGCUCGAAUUCAGGACCCCCAAAAGACCACCAGAGACCAAGAUUGAUGUAAGCAGCAAAGAGGUGUUUAUUGUGGGCUAGCUCGGUCCUCUGCGUGCACACAGCAACUGGUGACGCUGAGAGGCCCCAAGCCCAGGGUUUGCAGCAGUUUUAUACACUCUUUGGAGAAGGCAGGGACUUCACAUACAUCAUAGCAUCUCUUAGCAAAUCAUCACACACCAUGGGAAAAUCAUAAGACAACUCUAAAACAUGAUUAGCACAUUCACUGGCAGGAACAAGUUGGGUAAGGGUGAUUGGUUAGUACAAGAGGGGGAUUCAUUUGAACUGAUUGGUUUAGGCCACAAGGGAUAUUCGUGCUAAACUACAUGGUUUCCCAACAUGUUAUCAACCACCAUAAACUACUGGGAGGGUCAUCUGGCAUCCCAGGUAUUUUCCCUGUCUCAUGCUGAUUGGAGGUUGCUAGGGGGUUGCCAUGGGUCCUCAUCUAGCCUGACUGAGUCAGGGAUACCUGGUUCCACAGAUCUCUCCUGUUAUUUAUAGAUAAACAACUCAGCAGGGUGGGUAUGUGCCUAGGAGUGCUCUGUGGGUCUUUCCAAGGACAAGGAUCACUCCCCCUUCCUUGGACAUGCUUGGCUCUGAGGUAGAGGCUGAUUUCUCACCACAUCCCCAGCCCUGCCACAUAUGGUUUUUAAAGUUAAGUUUGUAUAAAGUUUUAUAAUUUAUCAAAAUAUACACCAUAAGUAUAUAACUUAAUUUUGGUAACAGAUUGUAAGAUAAAUUAGUCAAGUAUUUUCAACCCCCGCUUUCAAGUACUGAAACUGAGACUCAGAGAUGUUAAAGGGCUCACUUAACAAGAAUCUUCCAGUUAAACACUGGACUUUUGACUUCAGAUCUAACAUGCCCCCCUUUCCCAGCAUGCUCCUCACAAAAGUCUGGAGGAGACCUUAGGACAUCAAAGACAUUCUUUCACAUCUAAGUAGGACUGUAAUGUUUUAGACAAAUAGCCUUUGAAAGGCCUUCAUGCAUUGUGAUGUUGAAAAAGCUACUUUCAAUUGUCAAAUGGGUAAGAGAAAAUGUGCUAAUGGAACAAUCUAGACAAGUGUUCUGAUAAACCUCAGCUCGCUUUUAGCCUUGAACUUUCCAGUCGCUAUUCUUGUGUGUUUAGACCAUUCAGCGCCUUCUUCUCUUGGACAAGAUACUAAAAUAAACUCCCUGAAUUGGUGUCUAUCAUCAGUCUGGAGUCUGACCCUGUUUGUUGUUAGGUUCUUACUCCCUUGGCUGAUUGGCACUCAGCAAUGGAGUAGAAUCCAGGGCUUUUUGGUGUGCAGGCACUCUACCACUGAGCCAAACUCCCAACCCCUUUCUAAUUAGUUCCUAAACUGGUUUUCCCCUUGGGUAAUAAAGCCUCAGCAGUUGGAGACAUCUUCCCUGGAGAUUGUCUGCCACACACCUGUCCCGGUUACAGCUUGCAGAGGAACAAGUCUCUCUCCUUUUCCAGAGCCCUUAUUCCCUCUGGGACCUUUCAUUGAGUUCCAGUUCCUGUUCUGAGAGACUCUUGUAAUUCACAGUUCAAUUAAGGAACUGAAAAGAUUACCUAUCCUAAAAUUAAUGAAAGAUGGAAAACUUCUCAGUUGGGUGCUCACUCACUUCACCAUGACCCCCUUCCUGCCACCCAGAAAUAGGCUAAAUGGGCAGCAGUGAACUUGCAACCAUAAUCAGUUCUCACCAAGAUAAGAAAAGAAAGGAGGAUUUCAUUUCUGCUCUUUCCUCCCCUCUUUAAACCUAGAAAACAUUUUUAUAAUCUCAUAACCUCAGAGCCUGGUUGGGAUGAAGAGUGGAAUUUCAGAGUUAGAAGUAGAUUUCAGAUGAACCCAAAUAUUUUCUUAACAUUUAAAUGUCUUUAUUCAAUUUGUAAUUGAUUUGGGACUUUUUUUCCUUAUUUGCUUUUGUUUUUGUUUUGUUUAGUCUGAAAAGUUUUCCUUAUUGGUAUUACAUUAAUUUUCUUAGAUGGUUGACUAUUCUGGGUCAAUUUCAAAGUUUUGUUGCUAGUUUAAUACAUAGCAAUCUAAACAAUAAAGAACACUUGAAAAACUUAGUCUGGAUGUUAGUUUUCUGAAAAUGGCUUUGUUUUGCUGAUGUAAUGCUGCCUUGUCAGAUUUCUAGUGCUCUAUCCACAUCCCUUUGUCAAAUCUCAUCAUAAACGAAGGGUUAGGGGUUGGCAGAUGUGAGUUGCAGUCUUGGGAGUUUGAUAAGCUUCAAAUUCCAAAACUGACUGAAUUAUUUUUUUUAAUAUUUAUUUAUAUAUUUUUUUAAUAUUAUUGGCGGACACAACAUCUUUGUUUGUAUGUGGUGCUGAGGAUCGAACCCGGGCCGCACGCAUGCCAGGCAAGCGCGCUACCGCUUGAGCCACAUCCCCAGCCCCCUGACUGAAUUCUGAUCAAUUAUCACAGACAGUUUUGUGAAAAGAUGACUUCUUUAUGAGAACAGUAGUGAUAGAGUUUUUUUUUAAACCUAGAAGAUUUAAAAUUCUAAUACAUAUUUUUUAACAACCUUGAUGAAUAGAAAGUGCUUAUAUUUGCAUAAGGUUAGUAGUUUUAUAAAACUUAAUAGACAUUAAUAUUAAGCUACAGAGUUUAUUACUGAAUUUAUUCUGGCAGUUUAUUUCCCUUUGUGUCGUGUACAUGGCAAGAUACCCCCUAAGUCAGAACCCAGUGAUCACUGAAUGCAGAAUAUGAUGUGAAUGAUCCUCCCUACUCGAGUUAUACAGCAUUAUAGUCUCUAAAAGCUGCUACUAUUAAAAUGAACAUAAUAAAAACAAACAAAUCAUGAAAAAGGAGUUAUAUAUGAGGUUAGAGUUAUAUAUGAGGUUAUAUAUGAGCAGGAUGCCAAAGCCAAGUCCAAAUAGCUUUGGGUGUUUUGCCUAGGAUCAGUUUCUUAGGUAGCACAAUGGAAAUGACCAAAGGCAAAUGAAAUGUAAGAAUCAAAGUUCAUUGUCACAUCUGGGAUUAAAGCCAGAGAGAGCAAACAAACAGAAAAGACAAGAUGGUUAUCAGAUCCAGUGGUUUGGUGUUGUUGGGGCUUGGAACACAAUACCCCAAACUAUGGCACGUUGGCAGAGUGUGCACUAUGAACUAAAGGAGAUUGAACGGCCUUAGAAGCAAGAUCUCAGCUAUGGUUUGGAUAUAGUGUCCCCCACAAAGCUCAUGUGUGAGAUGAUGCAAGAAUUGGGUUAUAAGAGCCUUAACUAAUCAGCAGAUUUGUUAUUCUCGAAUUUGGGACCCCCAAUUGACCACCAGAGACCAAGAUUGAUGUAAGCAGCAAAGAGGUGUUUAUUGCAAGCUAGUUCCGUCCUCUGCGCGCACACAGCAACUGGUGACGCUGAGAGGCCCCAGGCCCAGGGUUUGCAGCAGUUUUAUACACUCUUUGGGGAAGGCAGGGACUUCACAUACAUCAUAGCAUCUCUUAGCAAAUCAUCACACACCGCAGGAAAAUCAAACAAUAACUCUAAAACAUGAUUAGCACAUUCACUGGCAGGAACAAGUUGGGUAGGGGUGAUUGGUUAGUACAAGAGGGGAAUUCAUUUGAACUGAUUGGUUUAGGCCACGAGGGAUAUACAUGCUAAACUACAUGGUUUCCCAACAUGUUAUCAACCACCAUAAACUACUGGGAGGGUCAUCUGGCAUCCCAGUUAUUUUCCCUGUCUCAUGCUGAUUGGUGGCUGCUAUAGGGUUGCUAUGGGUCCUCAUCUAGCCUGACUGAGUCAGGGAUACCUGGCACAGCAGAUCUCUCCUGUUAUUUGUAGAUAAACAACUCAGCAGGGUGGGUAUGUGCCUAGGAGUGCUCUGUGGGUCUUUCCAAGGACAAAGGUCAUGCCCCUUCCUUGGACAGGCUUUGCUCUGAGGUAGAGGCUGGUUUUUCAGAUUAAUCCACUGAUAUGAAUUAACUGGGUGGUAACUGUAGAUGGUAGGAAGUGGCUGGAGGAGGUAGGCUUUUAGGGUUUAUGUUUUGCUCCUGAUGAACAGAGAGCUCUCGCUCGCUCUCUCUCCCUCUCUUCUCUCUCUCUCUCCCCUUUCUUGUUUCCAUGUCCUGAGCGCUGGUUUCCUCUGUAUACUCUUCCCCUAUGAUGUUCUGCCUCACCUCCAGCUCAGAGCUAUGAAGUAGGCUGUCUAGGACUGAGACCUCUGAAACUGUGAGUACCAUAUAAACUUUUCCUUCUUGAUGUUGCUUCUGUCAGGUCUUUUGGCCACAGUGAUGAAAAAACUGACUAAAACAAACUCUCUGACCUUCCCCUACACUUGUGUCUCUUGUCCCUCUUUCUUUGCCAAAGUGAAUCAUAGAAAACAGAAUUCUUCCACAAGAAACCAUAACCCCUUUCCCUAGAGCAAGGCAUAAAAUGUAAAAAGGUCAGUCCUCCUCUCCCUUGAAGGUUUCCAUUCCAGAAGAAUCAUACAUUCCUGGAGAAAGGAAUACUGCACAGAGAAGCCAAGAAGAGUCAGAAUGGACAGGUUUUGCUGGAUAUCCCCAACCACGUCCAUUAUCACUAGAUUGUACCUUCAGCCCAAUCACAUUUCUGUACAGCAGACCAUUCUUCAUAAGCAUAAAAACAGUUUUCCCUGGGUAUUUGGAUCUUCAUUUCUGAAGGUUCACAUGUCACAUAAAACUUGAUUAAAUUUGUUCGGCAUUUCUCUCAUUAGUCUGUCUUUUGUUAUAGAGGUUAUAUUGGCCAUGACCUCUAUGAUGGAUGAGGAAAGGUCUCACAGCUACAAUGUAUUCAAGUUUCUUAUAAAGACAUGGGGUCCCAUCUCUGUGAUUGUCUCAUUAUUCACAAAGACCCAACUUUAUGAACUGAUGUGCAAUCCCACCCUUUCCUCUAACCCUAUGCCAGUUCUCCAGUCUGAGUAGUGGCUGGUCUUUAAACUUUGUGGGAAGGUAGAUGUGUAAGGAUGCCACACAUCUGAGGUAUUGCAGAAUCUGGCAGCAAGUUUUUAGUUUCACUUUUUGACCAUUUCCCCAACCUUCAAUUCCUGUCCAUUAAACACUGUGAUUGCUCUGAUACCAGCGGGAAUUCUUGAGCACUUCACCAUUCUGAAGAAUAGAAAAGAUUAUCUGCUUUUUGAGCCUAGCCUUUGGUAGUUGCAUGGGUCAUGGACCAGAGGCCUCAUGAUGUACCAAUGGAUAUAGCAAUGUGCCUUAGAGAGCUCCUAAAAUAAUGCUAUGGGAAGGCAUGUAUAGGAUAUCUAGGCCAAGCUCUUACAGUUAGAUAAAUAAACAGGAUCCAGCCAUCCCACUUCUCAGUUUAUACCCAAAGGACUUAAAAUCAGCAUAUUACAGUGACAUAGCCAUACCAAUGUUUAGAGCAACUCAACUCACAAUAGCUGAACUAUGAAACUAACCUAGGUGCCCUUCAACAGAUGAAUGGCUAAAGAAAAUGUGGUAUAUAUACACAAUGGAAUAUUACUCAGCUUUAAAGAAGAAUGAAAUUAUGGUAUUUGCUGGUAAAUGGAUGGAGCUAGAGAAUAUAUAUAUAUAUACCACAUUUUCUUUAUCCAUGCUAAAUGAAAUAAGCCAAUUACCAAAAACCAAAGCUGAAGGUUUUCUUUGAUAUGUGGAUGCUUAUUCACAAUAAGGGGGAAUGCUAGGAAAGAACAGUUACUUUACAUUAGGGGAGUGAAGGGAGUAUGGGGUAGGAAAGAUAGUAGAAUGAAUCAGACAGACAUUAUUACCCUAUGUACCUAUAUUACUUCAUGACUAGUGGGAUUCUACAUCAUGUAUAACUAGAAGAAUGAGAAAUUAUACUCCAAUUAUGUAUGAUGAAUCAUAGUGCAUUCUACUCUCAUGUAAAACUAAUUAGAACAAAGUAAAAAAUUAAAAAAAAAAUAAACAGGAGCAUGAAAAGUAGAUUGCUCUAAAGAAUAGUCCAUCAAAUAAUGGUUAACUUGCCUGCAGGAGAAUUGUUCUUCUACUUAAUUUAAAAGGAAAUUAUUGUAUCCAUUCAUCAACUUGGACUUGGGCUUUUAGGAGACAUAUGUUAUAAGACUUAUAGAGCCCAGAACUGGUUGGCUUCAAGUGUCUCUAUUUAGCCGAGUGGUGGGUACACUGUGAAAUAAGUUCUGGGAGAAUAUCUAUUACUUAGUGGCCAAAUUUUCUGCCAUGUGAUUUGCUAGACACCUCCUAAAAGAAAGCCCCUGCUUGAACUUGCAGGGAGGGCAGGCAAACCAUUGUGGUUUACAAAAACAGCCCCAGUGCUUGCCUAGCAGGCAUGAGGCCCUGGAUUCGAUCCCUGGCACCACAUAAAAAUAAAAACAAAUGAAAUAAAGGUACUAGCUCAUCUACAACUUAAAAUAUAUAUAUAUAUAUAUAUAUAUAUAUAUAUAUAUAUAUAUAUAUGGCUGUAACUCUACUACAUUUGCCACCUGGCCCGUUCUCAGAUUUUCUUCACUUCUCUGACUCAGGUUAGCAGUUCAGCCUCUGAGAACUUCUACAAUGCCAUGCAUUUCCUGCUACUCUGCCACUUCUUAUGGUAUACAAUCACUUGUCUUUGUGCUACUAGAGCAAAGAUUUCUGAGAGCCUUGAGGUGUUCUUCACCUGGACCAAAGGUUGGUUAGGCACAUGAACCAGCCUUUUGGAAUUUCCCCUCAAAUAUUUCACAGGAGUCCAUUGUAGGCAGUGAAGGUGGAGGUCAUAUAACCACUGAACCAUUUGCCAUGCCACUUCUCCUGAAUGGCAGUCUCUAAGGGAAUUGAUGUGUUUUCAGCUUUAUCCUCAUGACCAAGCAGCCAGUGGAGAAUAACUGUUCAAUGAAUUGUGAGCUGGUUUUAGGUACCCUUGCCUCCCAGCCUGAGUUCUGGAGAGAUUACACAUAUUAGCUCCUAGCCAGGCCCUUCCAGACAUGUCUACAGCUCAAAUUAUAUGUUUGCUCAAGCAAAAACACCAGAGAAGAACCUUACUCCUGUUUAGGUGAAAAUGUUUUUCCCUUUCAGGAAGAAGAGGAGAGCCCUUGGCAUUGCACAGGUUGAAGAAUCUAGAGGCAAUAUGGGAUUUGAUACUCUUCUGUAUUUUCUAAACAGUACUGCCCCCUGAGAUUAAAAACAAAAAGAAAGAAAAAAGCAAUUGACACUAAAAAUUGAUCAUCCCUAAAGCCUUAGAUUACUGGCACUUAAAGACAAGCCACAGGCUGAUAAUUAUCUACCUAGAGGGAGUUAUUUGAGAAACAGACUCCCGGAGAGUACAGGACUAAGGAAAUUACCUAUAGUUUAGCUAUUGUGUCUCAGGGUUCCAGAAGAAAUAUCUGACUGAGCCAAUGACAUAACAAUGCCUUUGGUUAGAUUACAAACCAUACAUGAUUUAGGAUAGGUUCACUAUGCUACUCCCUGGACAAAGGGAAAAACCUAGUUUGUUCGACGAUCUCAUGUCUCCUCUCAUGAAUUUUUUUUGAAAUAUAAAGUUUUAAAAAAUCAAGUAUAUAUAUUUUGAAGAUAUAUAUAUAUAAACUGCACAAGUCAAAAAAUAUCAAUCUAUGAAUUUUUACAGAGUGAACCCACCGACAUAAUGACACAGAACCAAAGGCUCAGAAGCCCCUUUCUGCCUCAGGAACAGCCACAAUCCUGACUUCUAGUUCCAAAGACUAAUUUGUCUUUUUUUUUUUUUGGUACCAGAGAUUGAGUCCAGAGGAACUUAACCACUGAGCCACACCCCAGCCCAUUUUUAUACUUUAGUUAGAGACAGAGUCUUGCUGAGUUAUUUAGGGUCUCGAUAAGUUGCUGAGGCUGACUUUGAACUCAUGAUCAGCCUCCAUAGCUGCUGGGAUUACAGGGUGUGUCACCGCUCCCAGCUUAGUUUUGUCUAUUUUUGAACUCUUAGUAGAUGGGAUCACACAGAAUGUUUCUUUUUAAAUCUCUAGCUUCUUUAUUUUAACAUUAGGUUUGUGAGAUUCAUUGAUGUUGAGGUAGGUAACAUCAUAUCAUUCAAUCUCAUGGAUUAUUGUGGGGUGUAUAUAUUACUUUUGAUGACCAUUUGGGAUUGUUUUGUUUGGGGAUAUUAUAAACAGUGCUGUCUCGAACAUUUAUGUCAAUGUUUUUGGUGAACAAAUGCCCCUUUAGGAUUGGAAUGGUUAGAUAAGAGAAUAUGUAUAUGUUCACCUUUAGCAGGUACUCCAGUUUUCCAAAAUGGUUGUACCGAUUUAUACUCUCACCAAUAGUGUAAGAAUUCAAGUUGUUUUAUAUUUCACCAGUAUUUGGUAUUAUCUUCUUUAUUUGAGCCAUUUUGAAAACCUACCUUACUAUAGUUUUGAUUUGCAUUUUCAUGAGGACUUCUGAAGUUAAACACCUCUUUGUGUGUUUGUUGGUUUUUUGAAUAUCCUUUGUUUUUUUUUCUUGUAGUGCUGGGGAUGGAACCCAGGGUCUUAUGCAUGCUAAGGCCUCUAAUGCUGGGCUGUACCCCCAGCCUUCAUAUACUCUUUUGUGAAAUUCCUGUUAAAAUCUUCUGCUUAUUUUUGUAUUGAGAUUUCUUAAAAAUUGAUUAUAUUUUAUUAGCUUAUAUGACUACUUUAUAUUUUUCUGGGUAAGGGUCCUUUGCUGGAGAGAGUAUGUUCGUAUGCAUAUACAUAUAUAUAUGUAUAUGUAUGUGGACUUCUAUUUUGUGCUUGUCUUUUUGCUCUUUUUUUUUAGAAAGAGAGAGACAUUUUUAAUAUUUAUUUUUUAGUUUUUGGCAGACAUAACAUCUUUGUAUGUGGUGCUGAGGAUCGAACCCGGGCCGCACGCAUGCCAGGCGAGUGCCCUACCGCUUGAGCCACAUCCCCAGCCCUCUUUUUGCUCUCUUAAUAACAUCUUUUGAUAAUUGGAAGUUCUUAAUUUUAAGGCAAUACUGUUUAUGGAUUUUUUUUUUCUCCUAGGGCUCAGCUUUUUGUGAGCAGGCAUCUUGAGUUGGCUCAACUUUUUACCUGUCUGGGAGAAAUCCUUAUUUGGACCCUGCCAAACUAUCAUCAGUAGUUUUUUAUGGCCCAAAACUUGUCACUGCAGUGUCUUCUUGCUUUAUUGGCUUGAAUUUAUCUUAUCUGAUCCUUCUUUGCUGGUGACAUUUGACUUUGUUCUGCUUCAGUCAGCAGACUAUCCCUCUUCUGUCCUUAGGCUGGAUUUCUUUGUCUCGGGCUAUGAUCUAACUGACCAAACUUUCCAACCACCCAUUCCAAGUAGCCAGUCUCCAUCUCCUUCAUGUCUAAUUUUAUCCUCAGCUUCUCUCUGGAUAUGGUUUUGCAGCACCUGUUGGCCUAGUUGUCCUAACCUCAGUCUAGCAGGGAACAUCCCCUUAUUUAGAAGACACCCUGCCUAACCCUUUCUUUACUUUGGCAUCUCCAAGUUAGGUGAAUUUAGAGGAUCAGAGGCUCUGUCAAAGAUUUUUCUGCACUGAGGUAGUUUUAUUUCAACAUAAGUGACUGCCAGCUGAGAGAAUAUGAAAACAUCCUCCUGAUGAUGCAUAUUCUGAUAUUUGGAUACUUGAUGAAUCUCUUGAGGUCAGAUUCCUUUUGUUUGCUCAAAUAUCAGGUGUACCUUGUGUUCUCAUGACUGGUGUGUUGGUGUAAUCAAGCCUCCUCCACAAAUCACUGACAUUUUAUGGGUUCUCAGGCAUAUACAUGUGCAUUUUUUUUCAAACCUCAUCCACCAACCCUGUUUUCUAAUCUCUGUUCUUUUCAUCUUCUGGUGUAACAAGAUGAAAAUGACAUUUCAAAAUUCCAGUUAGAACUUCUAAGAUAAAAGAUGUUACUUCCACAUUCUAAAAAGAGAGAGUCGACUGUCUAUGUGGGACUCAAUAAAAGAUAACUGGUCUAGAGAACUUUACUUUCAACAAAUAGCCCAAGUGGUCAAAAAAUUGAAAGGGAAUUUAUGGAAUGAAUUCAGAGAGCAGAGUUGUUUGCUUUUCUAUUUUUCUCUCUAUGAGGAAAUAUGUGCUUCCCUCCCCCCAGCCAAUUCAGACUACGUAAAACAGAUGGAGGAUUAUUUUCUCUCAUAACAGAAUGUCUGAGAGACAUAACUGAUAAAUUUAGUUAUCUGCUAUUUUCUCCCAUAGUCAUAAGAUGGCUGUCCCUGUUCAGGGCUGGAAAAGGACCAAUGUCAAGGGCACGGGUCUCUUUUUAUUAGGGAUGUCACUUUUUUUUUUUUCAUUGAUCUAUUUUUCUGUUCUUUCACCAUUACCAUUCUGUCUUUCCAGCUUUAUAAUUCACCUUGAGGUCGACUAGUGUUAAGCCUCCCGUUCUCCACUUUGUUUUAGGAAGCAUAACAGCAGAACUAUAGAUGUGCAUUAGUCAUCUUAUGGUGUCAGCCAUGAGUGUAGAUGUCAAGAAACCUUGCUUUGUGGAGGUCCAGGGCAUCGAUGAGUCAGCAGCAGGGGGCUUGCCGUAAAGGAUAUCAAUAGCCCAAACAACAAAACAAAAAACCCAAACUCAAAAACUAUAACCAACACUUGCCAGCUAGAAAAUCUUUGUUCCUUUUCUCUUACUCUCCUUGACCUUUGUUCCUUUUCUCACCACAGGGAACAUGGAAGAUGGAAGGGGCAAAAGAUGAAGAAAGAUUGGAAAACUUCAUCUACUUUUCCCCCCACUGAAAGUUUCUGUGACUAAGCACUUUGUAGCUACUUGGGAGGAUGAGGCAGGAAGAUUGCAAUGUGGAGGCCAGCCUGGGCAAGUCAGUGAGGCCCUAAUUCAAAAACAAACAAACAACAACAACAAAAAACAACAAAACAAAACAACAACAUCAACAACAACAACAAACAAAGGAGAAGAGCUGGGGAUGUAGUUCAAUGGUAGAACACUUGUCCAGUAGCACAAACCAAAGCAAACUAAAAUAAAACAAAACAAAAAAGAAAGUCUUUAAAGAGAUAUACAAGUAGCUGGUAGGAAGGGAGAAGUUCCAAAUCAGAUGGAAGAUUGACAUUUUAACUAUGUUGAAUGUUUUUUUUUUCUCCUUUUAAAAUAUCUUAAGUGAUAACAAAGCAAUGAGAUCUGCUGAUAAUGUUAAAAGGACAGGAUGACCUUAUCAAUUAUUACCAAGUUGUCUUCCUAGCUCUCAUCUGCUGGAAGGACUUUUCCUUGCUAUAGGGAAGCUGGAUGUGUCAGGAAAUUUUAGAAGUAUUUCUAAAAUUUUACAAGGAAAAUUUUAGAAGUAUUUAGGUUUGUUGAAAAGGAGAAAAUUCAGUAGGUGUACUUAGGCUAGACUGAUUGUAACAUAAUAAAUAAAUUAUAGUCUGUUGUUGACUGUGU